rnacentral:rRNA from 1 species
GAUUCAUGAUAACUUAACGAAUCGCAUGGCCUUGUGCCGGCGAUGGUUCAUUCAAAUUUCUGCCCUAUCAACUUUCGAUGGUAGGAUAGUGGCCUACCAUGGUUUCAACGGGUAACGGGGAAUUAGGGUUCUAUUCCGGAGAGGGAGCCUGAGAAACGGCUACCACAUCCAAGGAAGGCAGCAGGCGCGCAAAUUACCCAAUCCCGACACGGGGAGGUAGUGACAAUAAAUACUGAUACAGGGCCCUUUCGGGUCUUGUAAUUGGAAUGAGUACAAUUUAAAUCCCUUAACGAGGAACAAUUGGAGGGCAAGUCUGGUGCCAGCAGCCGCGGUAAUUCCAGCUCCAAUAGCGUAUAUUAAAGUUGUUGCAGUUAAAAAGCUCGUAGUUGAACCUUGGGUCUGGCUGGCCGGUCCGCCUCACCGCGUGCACUGGUCCGGCCGGACCUUUCCUUCUGGCUAACCUCAUGCCCUUUACUGGGUGUGUUGGGGAACCAGGACUUUUAC